CCUUUUCACCGGCCGUGUUAUAUCGACAGAAGCAAAGCUCGGUCAUGCAGUACCGCCGCCGGCCAAAUUCACCCACGUCGCCGCCCCUCGUUGCAAUUCCAUCCACCCAAAGUUCCGAAAGCUCCUCCUAAACGCCCCACGCCGCUCCGUUGCUCAGUUUCCCGUCGUCGAGCUCAAGUUUCGGCCGCAUCUCCUGUUUACCGCCGCUGCUACUGUCCACCGGUGAGCCCUCCGCGCCGCCCUUUCUUUCACUCGUUUGGUCGAGUUUAGAGAGUGCUUGGGUCAUGUGGAUGCCGUAGAGUGCGCCGCCGGUUGUCCUCGUGCCGCCUCCGUGCGCCGCCAUGACCGGCGGUUGACCAAGCCGCGGCGGCCCGUGGAGGGGCCGGCUCGGGCCACCUCCCGGCGAGCUAGCAGUGGGCGCGGGUGCGCCUGGUCUGGGGCGCCGCCACCCCGUCCCUCUCGGCCGCCGGCGAGCCGCCGUUGGCCGGGGCUGCCCCGUCUUCCUCACGCCAGCGCGCCCCCUGUUUUUGCGCCGGGAGGAAGAAGCUGUGCGUCAGGGGGUUGUGAGGAGAAGAAGGAGAGGAAGGAAGGCCAACCGCCGUUUUGGGCCGAGAGAGAGACGCCGGCCCAGCUAAAGCCCGCGCGGCAUAGAAGAAAAGGGAGAAAGAAAAGAGGGGCCGCCGUCCGUCGUGGGCCAAGGGGAGGAGGAAGCAGGCCGGUUGGUGAACUUGGGCCAGGAGUCCAAGUCUCGGUGGGGGAGGCCCAGGUGGAGCGGGAGAGAAGGAGUAGGCCGGUCACCCGUCUUGGGCCAAGGGAAAGAAUUGGCCCAGCUGGCCCGCACGGCAUAAAAGAAAAAGGAGGGGUUUAGCAGGCCAGUAGAGUGUUGCUUGGGCCGUGUUGCCCAGUUGCGGUGGAGGAGGCCCAUUAGUGCGUCGACGUUCGUUGGGCCCAUGACCUUUUGAGGAAGAAAGGGAGGACCGGUGGGCUGACGAUCGGGUUGAAAAGAAAAUAGGCCGUGCGGCCCAGAUAGAAGUAAAGGAGGAAGAAGGUGGGCCGGCCGGAGUUGAGAAAGAGGAGAAGAGGAGGAAGCCGGCCCAAAAAGGAGAUACCACGAGGAAGGGUGCCGGCUGUGGGCCCCACUUGUCAAUGAAGAAAAGAAAAAGAAGAAUAGGGGACCGGAUGGGCCCUAGGUGGAAGUGAUGGUGGGUAGAAGCAAGUUAGAAAAGUUUGGGCCGGGGUUUUUUUUAUUAAAUCUUAGGUUUUCUUUUAUUAGAUAAAUAGAUUAAAUGUUGUUUUCACCAUUUAAUUCACAGGAAAUUCUAGAAGUACCCAAAAUUAGUGAAACCAAUUUUAUUGGGAUUUUUUUUUAUUUUUCUUUAUGCAUUAAAAUUCUUAAACCCUAGGAAAAAUAAUAAAAAUUUAGGUAUUUAUUUAAUGCCUUUUUGUUUAAGGUAUUUAAAUAAAUGCUUAAGCCUUAUUAAAUGUAUAAAACUUGAGUAAUGCUUUAUUAUCCACAAAUUAUUAUUAAUUCAUAGGAAUUAGGUUUUUGAGAUUAGAAAAUUAUUAUAAUACUUUUAAAAAUAAAAGGAGAGAUCUAAGGUAGGUUUAGUAAAGGAAAUAAAAAUGGUGGGCUAAUUUUUUUUUAGGGUUUUUGUGUGUUGGCUUGCAACUUUAUCAUGAUAAAUUGUAUAGUCUUUGUUGGCUUGCAACUUUAUCAUGAAGCAAAGUUGUAUAGUCUUGUAUUCAAAAAGUUUUGCAUCUUUAACUCCUGCAUACUACAUCGUAGACAUCACAACUCCUGAAGUGGGAAUUCAUGGAAUUCAGCCGGAGAUGGACAGCUUUCGCAGUGCCUCUUUCAACAAACAAGUUUUCCGAAGAACUAACCUUGUUGAUCCCAGGCAAGCCCCGGUGCAUUUACACCUAUCUAUUUUGAGAUCAUUAUUUCAUGUGACUAGUUAUAAGUUAUGGGUUUAUUGUAUGCACUAAGUCUAGGAGUUGAAUGAAACCCAUUCUUGUGUAUGACUAUGCCUUGAAUUAAGGACAUCUUUGCCACUUGUUCAAAUCCUAGAAACUACCCAAGUCUAGAAUUGCUUACUUGCUUACAUGUUUGGUUUACCAACCUUAAGGCAAACACUUAAGUCAUACAUGUUGCUUAUGAAAGAUAGUUUGGAACAUGGAACCAGACAGAAGCUAGAGAUGUAGUUCUGUCUACUAGGUUAAUCUGGUUAAGGACCGAUCCGUGUCUUAACCAUUGAUCAAGUGAUAACCUCUGAUCACUUACUGGGUAUGGGACCAGUAAAGCCCAGUAGAUUAGUAAAUUCUAUGAUCAGGAAUACUUCGUACCCGCAUUUGACGUGCUGGAGAUUGGCAGGGGUGUAGCCUGAAACUCACAUGGAGAUCAGGCCAGACGUGGGGUCCCAUGUGGGGGUGCAUCCCUGGGUCCGGGUAGUUGUAUUCCUAAUCAUUGACUUUGCUAAUCGAGAGGUUGUGAGAUACGACCGGAACAGUCGUAUAAUGCUGGUGAUCGGGGUACUCUCCUGCAGGAUGUAAUUAGAUCCGGAUCGCCGCAAUUCUCGGUUAUGAAUGCACUUGAUCGCUGUUAAGCAUCGUAGUAUCAACUCAUGCGAUAUAAAAUCUCCUGUUGUCAAGUAAUGUAUGACUCAACAGCUGUGGUUGCUUUUACUUCUGUUAUCAUCUAGAAUGGUUAGUAAUGAUUUAACUAAAAUAAAAGAUAAAACUAAGGCCUCACUCGUAGUAAGCUUUUUCGGCAAAAAUUGUGUCAACCAAGCACACCCAAAGGCUGACUUGCAUUCCAAAGAAAUACUAUUAUAUUGGUUAGUCGGGUAAGACUUGCUGAGUACUUCGUACUCAGGGGAUCCCUUUUUGUUGUUUUCAGAAGCCCAGCGGGGACUCACCGAAGAGGAAGCCCUGAAGACCUAGGGUAUCUUAUGAGUCUCAUGAUACCCUAGAAUAAAACUUAGAUGUUUAUCUUUCUUCCGGACUGGUUUAUGUUUUAAAUUCUUGAAACCACGCUAACCUGCAUUAUUAAGUUUGUUUCAAACUAUGGUUGUAAUAUAUCGUACCUUUGUUAUUUCUUUAAAAAUGUAAUAUUUGUUGGUAUUAUCCCAUCGCGGAUAUUAUCCUGAGGUAUGGCUAUGAGACACAUCGUGGAUCCUUCGAGGAGUCCUAGGGACACUCGACGGACUACCGGACUUAUGCUGUUUUAGGUGCGUUUUGGAUAAUUGCUGUUCCGACAGCAAUUAGGCGCACUUAAACCAGCUUAAGUUGGGCGGUUCCGCCACAGCUGGUAUCAGAGCCAUAGGUUGGGAUAAUCAACAGAUAUUACUAUUUAAAAAUUGAGACUCUAUUUUAAAAUAAUAAAAAUAAGAGUCACAGGUGGCAGUAGUGUUAACCGGUUGAUUGUUUUGCAGAUGCUAACUGUUUGCUGCGUGUCGCUAGUAUUCGGUAGUCUAUUAUUUAGGGAGAGAUUACGAUGCCACCAAUUUUCCUACGAGUGUGUAUAUGAGUCUGAAAGUACGUAGGAAUCGUUGCAUCAUGUUUGCAUUGCAUGUUUCAAAAUUUUUGGGUUUGGAGAGUGUCGUUAGACCUAAACCCGUUCCGUGUAAUAGAAGCUAGACGUAGUAAGGGGGUCGAUGCAACAGAGAACUGCAAGAAGAGAAGAUCAAAACAGACAGAUGAACACCAAAUCUUUUUGAGUAAGCAAUUAGGACAACUUAGGCUGUCUGGUGUGAGAAGGAUAAGGAAUAAAUUAGAUCCAGUCUGACAAAAAGUAUAAGAUCAGAAAUCAGGACUAGAGUAUUGGAAGUAUUGUAUAAAGAUAUGAAGGAGUUUUCUCAAAUAGAGCACGACGUUGUUACAUUCACUUUAUGAGAUUAAAAGACUUCAAUAUAUACUCUUCAUCAAGAUGCCUGUUCCAGUACUAUUAUUAGAGAGAAAGGAAUGAAGGUUCAAGGAUAAGGGAAAAAGAUACUCCAUAUGAUUUCGAUAUAAGUAAGAAGGCAGUUCUUGCACGGGUCGUAAUAUGGGAAAAAUAUAUGAGAAAAGUGGUUAAAGAAAUUGGAUGAAUAUGAGGCCAAUUGACGGAGGCCCAGGAAUCUAUUGAUCCUAAUACCUUGGGGAUAUAUUGGAAAAUUAUGAAAGCUAAGGUAAAUCGAUUGGAAGUCAAGAAAUCAAAGCAACAAGAUGAAAUCUUUUUCUCUCUGAUUCACAAUACAGGAGAUACAGGCUCAAAUUGCUGGCACAAAAAUUAAGUAACUACCCUGCCUGCAGGAAAACAACAUGUAUUCGCCCGGUAGCAGUGAAAGGAAAGAAGGAUAUUGUGGAUAACGAUAUGAAUAUAAAUGAACUUGCAUCUUAAGAGGCAGAUCUGCAUGUUUACAAGAAUCUGGAUAGUCUUGGUGUGAAAAUGGAAGAAAAUUUAGAGGGAGUCAUAUGGAGUCCGAUCAACUGUUUAGCUAAGGACAAUAUUGAAGGAGUGUUUCUGAGAAACACGUAUCCAAGGUUUGCAAAAUGCCGGGAAUAAUGAUAUUAAAGGAACCAGAGGAAGUUUAAUAAGUUCCGAUCUGAUGGAUUUUUGUGACCCCAAAAUGUCGGACCCAAGUGGAUACAUUUUAAUCCAGGUCAGAACUCGGGAUGUAGAGCCACCAUAAAUUCUUACCUUGGUUGAUGCUAUUGCUAGUCUUAUGAAUUCAAGAGCUAAGCAGGCUAGACUGCUGAGCAGGGACAUUCAAAGUGCAGGGGAUUAGCGUGGUUAUUAGGAACUGAAGCAGUAUCAAAACCACCAACUUUUGGGAAGACACUAUUCUUAACCUUUCACACAACAAUUGGAUAGAUACUAUCCCAGCUGCUCUAUGUGAUUUACAAGCUCUCAGUCCGCUAAAUUCGUUCCGCGAUCAUCUCAUGGGAAAAGUGCCGAGUAUUUCAAAAAGGUUACAGCUAUUACACUCAAGGGAAUCAAGGUCUUUGCGGCAGAGUAUGUGAGCUACAUAUACCCGCAUGCGAUGUUGUUUCUUUGUAUACAGCAAGAUUAAAAGUUGGGUUAAAAUAUGUAUCCCCAUUGUUGGUCUCGUGGCACUAUUCAUAUUAUCAUGAUGCCUUAUACUUCAAAAGAGAAAGUCCUUCAUAAUGCAAUCACCGUUGGUUUCUUCAAGUAAGAACUUCUGUAAAGUUUUCUACAAGGAUUGAGUUCAGGUUACUGAGGAAUUCACAGAGUCUUUAAUUAGGAAAGGAAGCCAUGAUUUAGUUUACGGAGGAAAGCUAAUCCAGAUAAAUCGGGUUGUUGGGUGUGAAGAUUUCUGACGCAAACAUAUAAGGCACCAAUGGGAGUUUUAUGUCAGAAUGUAAAACUCUGAGGAGAUGUGUAUAGUUUUAGAGUAUUGUUGGCAGAGACACUAACAGGGAGAAAGCUAGCAAAUCUUGUGUUCUGCGAUGGAGUGAGCAUUAUUAACCAUUAUCGAGAAGAAUCUUCCAAACCAGAUACUUCAUAUCCUUGAUGUUCAAAAGAAUGUCAGGAAUUUUCUGAAGCAGAUUUGGAAGAAGAUAACGCAGUCUACUCUUGCUUGUUAAAGCUACUAAGAGUGGCAUUUGCCUGCACAUGUCAGCCUCUAAUCACUAUAUGGACAUGAGACGAAUUGUUGUAGAAUUACACGUAAAUCCAAACAUUAUAUAUGGAUACAUGUGUGAUUCUUUGAUAUACGAAAACUCAAAAGAUUGAGUUUGCAGGACAUUGACUCUAAGGUUCCGCAGGCACAUGAUAGACCAGCUAUCUGAUUAGGCAAUCUGUCAGAAAGAAGAUAGCUUGGGAAGAUUUCAAGACAAUUAUUUGUACCCAGUUUCGUGUUAAAAAGGAUUAUAAGAGUGCAGCUGGAACAACUUCUAAAAGGUUUAGCAGAGACACAAAAGUGUUCAGGAGUAUCUAAGUGCAUUCAACCAUCUGGCACAAUAUGCUCCCAAACAUAUGAAUACUAAGUCUGAGAAAAGGAAUUGCUCCCAAAUACUUUUACAGGUUAUAACUUUGCUAUAAACAUCGUAAUCCCCGAGAAGAUGAAACCUAUGAACAAGCCCCUUGGAAGGGAGGAGCCCUUGGAAUGAGUGGACAUUUCUUUCGAGGCAUCGGAAAGUAUUCCUCAGGAGCUGAAGGUUGUCUACUAAGAACCUGCUAAAUCUACUUAUAGGCCCCAACUACAAUUGUCAUAUCAGUCAGGGGUUAUCUAGAACCCAAAUAAAUACUCUGUGUUCGACGAACCCAUAAGUACCUGGAAGGUUAAAAGCACCACUAUCUUUGCAAAUCUGCAACUGUAUUAUAACAUAACUAUGGAAGGACUGGUUUCGCCAGAAAUCUCCAUUUUCCAAAGAAAGGGGAAAAUAUGAAUGAGAAAGCUCAGAUUUCAUGCCAAAGAUUGGGUCAACAAGUCUAUCCGAAAGAAAUUCCUUAAUUAGAAGGAAGGGACGUGAGCAUUAUACGGAUAUUCACGAGUUUCUAAAAGGUUGAAUUUGCAUGGGAUUCUGAGAAUAGUAAAAUGUGUCAAGCUUUGAAGCAAAGGUUUUGACGAACAAGAAUAAAGGAGAAUAUGCGGAGCAAUUGCGCAUUGAUUUGGAUAGCUUCUGAAGCAUUGACCCUAUGCCAAGUUUAGUGAGUAUGAGUUUUGGCUAAAGAAGGUUCUGUUCAUUAGGCAUGUUUUGUCCGAGUAAAGAAUUGAAGUGGAUCCUGGAAAAGUCAAGGACAUAAGCCACCAAUAACUGUUCAGGAAGUAAGAAGUUUUCUUAAAAUGGCCGGACGCUAUCAAAGUCCGAUCUGAAUAAGAGGCAUGAGAUGACUGAAACUAAUCCAAGACUAUAAACUAGAGAUUGUGUCAUCUGAACAAAACUACAGUACCCUGCAUAACCUUAUCUUAUAAGAUACCUUGAGGAAAAAGAUAGAACAAACUCAGAAGAAGGACAAAGGAAUGAGAAUACUUCGGAAAUAAGUAAGCUAAAGUGAUAUUAUUUACUUUACCAGGAUGAAGAGCUGAAUAAUAGUACUUAAGAAGAUGGGCUUGAGAAAGGAGAUCUUAGAUGAAACUUGCACCCGAGCAGUAUUAAAAUGCAUUAAUACAGGAAGCAAUGAUUUUGGUGGACAAGAAUGAAAAGGGAAAUAGCCAAGUAUGUAUCUGAAUAUGAUACGUGUCAAAAGGUAAAAGCUAUAUAUCAGAAAUCGGUCAACUUAUUGCAACCCUUAACCAUUUCUGAAUGGAAGUAGGAAGAUAUUUCCCUGGAUUUUACGGUAGGAUUUCCUACUACCUCAAGGGGGUAUGAUUUCAUAUGAGUUAUCCUAGCUUGACUCACUAAGUCGGCUCAUUUCAUUCCUGUCAAGAUCGUUUACCGUAUGCCAGCCUAUAUGGAACUUUAUAUAUCUCGGAUAAUAUCAUUACAUGGAGUACCCGAGACAAGUAUCUUUAAUUGAGGUUCUCAAUUCGUCUUUGGAUUCUAGGAAUAAAUGCAUGAGACAAUGGAAACUACCCUUGUCAAGAGCAAAGGAUGCUUGGUUAGACAGAAAAAAGAUAUGCUUCGUGCCUGUGCUCUUACCUUCUCGAAGAAAUGGGAUGAAUGGUUGCCUCUAGCAGAAAUGGAAAGAAUGUUUGCUUUUAAUUCAGUCAAAAUCAAGAGAAAGAGUACCUUUGGAACUAGAUCUAAUCAAUUAAAGUUGAGGAAAAAGUUCAGAAGAAUUGUACGAACCUUGAAAUAACUUAGUCAUGACAGAAAAGUUAUUCGGAUAAAAGAAGAGGAUCCUUGGAAUUUUAUUUUGAGACUUUGUACAUUUCGGAGUAUCCCCGAUGAAAGGAGUACACCGAAUUGAAGUCAAAGGAAAAAUUAGUUCCGAGAUAUACUGGUCCGUAAGAAAAUUUUGGAUCGGAAGACCAACAAUACUCAAACUAAGAGUAUCAAAUUUUACAAGGUGCCCUGAGAGAAUCGUGCUCCAGAUAAAGCUACUUGGAACAGACUAAAGACCUAGAGUCUAAAUAUCCAGAAUUAAUUGGGACCGUCAGGAACAGAUGAAUAAAGAGCCACCACCCGCACUAUCCUUGUACAGAAAAAGAAGAAAUAGUUAACCUGAGGCAGUUUCCUUUCCAUUCUCAAAACUGAGAAUUUAACCCCGGGAAUCUCGGGACGAGAUUCUGUUAAGGGGGAGGGGCUGUAACAGCUGCCGUUUUUAUCAUUUAAGUGACUCAGAUGAAUUGGAAGCAAUUCAAGAAGAAAGGAGAAAGAGAUUGACCGAAAAUCAAAUUCGGGUCAAAUUUGGCCGAAAUUUGAAUUUUGAAUUUGAAAUUCAGAAAAAUUCGGCAAAAAUAUGGAAUAGCAGUGUAAAGAUGAUCUGAACUUAAGGGUCAACAAUUUGGAAUAAUAUUUGAUCCUAAACACUCAGAAUAAAUCAAGAGAAGGAAAUGAAAAACUACGUUUACUAUUCACCGUACGAAAACAGGAAAUCAGAAAAACAGCUUCAGAGUACAUUUUGGAAAUUGAAUUCUGAUGAAUUUCUCAAAUAAGUAAAUAAGGACAACUAUACCAUGUUGAAGUAUGAACCUUGGACUCCUAAAUCUGGGUGUUGUUGAUCAAGAAUAGCAGAGGGAACUAUUUCAAAUAGAAGCCUAAAGUUAGCACUUUGGCACAAUCGGCAGCUUUGCUGGAAUUUCGUUAAGUCUGGAAAUGGUAUUGCGUACAUGAAUCUAGAACCAAUUUCUGGGGAAUUUUUCUUAAAAGUGAGCAGAUGUUUUUGGACAUUAGUGUAAUAUGGACUAUGGAGAAGGUAAAUGAAUAGUUGUUGUCCAGAGAAAGUGGAAGGUUUGAAUUCAAAUUGGAACCAAAAGUCAGCAAUUGAGCAGAUUUCGAGCUCCUUGCCGAAUUAAGUCUAAGUCUGGAAAACAUGACGAGUAUCUAUGUUUGAAACCGAAUUAUGCCCAAUUUUUCAAGUAAGUGAGCAAAGGCAACUAGACAGCGGUGAAGUAUGAUCCUUGGACAUGUUUAAUAAGGUGUUGUUGCUCAGAGAUAGCGAAAGAAUCAAAUUUAAAUCAGAACUCAAAGUCAGCACUUUAGCUAUUUCGGCCAACUCUCGAGCUGCGUAAAUUCUAAGUCUGAAACAGUGUUAACUAGCAAUGUUUGGAGCAAUUUGCAGGAAAAUCCAGUGCAAAGGCUAUAUGGUUUCUGGUGCAAAAUGGAAUCCUUAUUAGUUGUAGAACACAAAUAGGGAGUGGUUGGCCUAUAUGGAAUACAAUUGGGCUACUGAAAUUGGUGCUAAAGAAGGGUAAACGACCACAUUUGAAGACUGUCGAACUGAAUCGCUAAAAUUCAGUAACAGUAAAGCUGACAGAAACUUGGAGCUCCGAAAUCUCGACCUUAGGAUGCUCAUCUCGGGUAAAGGCCCAUCUAUCAAUUGUAGUGCUCGGAUUACUCUACAAGAUUGUUUAAGGGAUGUUCAAGAGAUUGGAUUCGGAUCUGCCGAUUUUUGAGGCUUGAACCUGUAAAUUGGGAGGGGAUAAAGAGGAGAAGGCAGCAGAAACAGAGCAGCGCGGCAGUGCCGUGCCGCCGCCGGCUCUCGCGCAUGUCGGCCAGCGCGACGGCCACCGCUGCGCCACGUCGCCACCACGAGCCAAGCUGAACGUGGCACGGUGAAAGACCACGACAUUGUUUUCCCGCGCUUAUCCUUUUCACCGGCCGUGUUAUAUCGACAGAAGCAAAGCUCGGUCAUGCAGUACCGCCGCCGGCCAAAUUCACCCACGUCGCCGCCCCUCGUUGCAAUUCCAUCCACCCAAAGUUCCGAAAGCUCCUCCUAAACGCCCCACGCCGCUCCGUUGCUCAGUUUCCCGUCGUCGAGCUCAAGUUUCGGCCGCAUCUCCUGUUUACCGCCGCUGCUACUGUCCACCGGUGAGCCCUCCGCGCCGCCCUUUCUUUCACUCGUUUGGUCGAGUUUAGAGAGUGCUUGGGUCAUGUGGAUGCCGUAGAGUGCGCCGCCGGUUGUCCUCGUGCCGCCUCCGUGCGCCGCCAUGACCGGCGGUUGACCAAGCCGCGGCGGCCCGUGGAGGGGCCGGCUCGGGCCACCUCCCGGCGAGCUAGCAGUGGGCGCGGGUGCGCCUGGUCUGGGGCGCCGCCACCCCGUCCCUCUCGGCCGCCGGCGAGCCGCCGUUGGCCGGGGCUGCCCCGUCUUCCUCACGCCAGCGCGCCCCCUGUUUUUGCGCCGGGAGGAAGAAGCUGUGCGUCAGGGGGUUGUGAGGAGAAGAAGGAGAGGAAGGAAGGCCAACCGCCGUUUUGGGCCGAGAGAGAGACGCCGGCCCAGCUAAAGCCCGCGCGGCAUAGAAGAAAAGGGAGAAAGAAAAGAGGGGCCGCCGUCCGUCGUGGGCCAAGGGGAGGAGGAAGCAGGCCGGUUGGUGAACUUGGGCCAGGAGUCCAAGUCUCGGUGGGGGAGGCCCAGGUGGAGCGGGAGAGAAGGAGUAGGCCGGUCACCCGUCUUGGGCCAAGGGAAAGAAUUGGCCCAGCUGGCCCGCACGGCAUAAAAGAAAAAGGAGGGGUUUAGCAGGCCAGUAGAGUGUUGCUUGGGCCGUGUUGCCCAGUUGCGGUGGAGGAGGCCCAUUAGUGCGUCGACGUUCGUUGGGCCCAUGACCUUUUGAGGAAGAAAGGGAGGACCGGUGGGCUGACGAUCGGGUUGAAAAGAAAAUAGGCCGUGCGGCCCAGAUAGAAGUAAAGGAGGAAGAAGGUGGGCCGGCCGGAGUUGAGAAAGAGGAGAAGAGGAGGAAGCCGGCCCAAAAAGGAGAUACCACGAGGAAGGGUGCCGGCUGUGGGCCCCACUUGUCAAUGAAGAAAAGAAAAAGAAGAAUAGGGGACCGGAUGGGCCCUAGGUGGAAGUGAUGGUGGGUAGAAGCAAGUUAGAAAAGUUUGGGCCGGGGUUUUUUUUAUUAAAUCUUAGGUUUUCUUUUAUUAGAUAAAUAGAUUAAAUGUUGUUUUCACCAUUUAAUUCACAGGAAAUUCUAGAAGUACCCAAAAUUAGUGAAACCAAUUUUAUUGGGAUUUUUUUUUAUUUUUCUUUAUGCAUUAAAAUUCUUAAACCCUAGGAAAAAUAAUAAAAAUUUAGGUAUUUAUUUAAUGCCUUUUUGUUUAAGGUAUUUAAAUAAAUGCUUAAGCCUUAUUAAAUGUAUAAAACUUGAGUAAUGCUUUAUUAUCCACAAAUUAUUAUUAAUUCAUAGGAAUUAGGUUUUUGAGAUUAGAAAAUUAUUAUAAUACUUUUAAAAAUAAAAGGAGAGAUCUAAGGUAGGUUUAGUAAAGGAAAUAAAAAUGGUGGGCUAAUUUUUUUUUAGGGUUUUUGUGUGUUGGCUUGCAACUUUAUCAUGAUAAAUUGUAUAGUCUUUGUUGGCUUGCAACUUUAUCAUGAAGCAAAGUUGUAUAGUCUUGUAUUCAAAAAGUUUUGCAUCUUUAACUCCUGCAUACUACAUCGUAGACAUCACAACUCCUGAAGUGGGAAUUCAUGGAAUUCAGCCGGAGAUGGACAGCUUUCGCAGUGCCUCUUUCAACAAACAAGUUUUCCGAAGAACUAACCUUGUUGAUCCCAGGCAAGCCCCGGUGCAUUUACACCUAUCUAUUUUGAGAUCAUUAUUUCAUGUGACUAGUUAUAAGUUAUGGGUUUAUUGUAUGCACUAAGUCUAGGAGUUGAAUGAAACCCAUUCUUGUGUAUGACUAUGCCUUGAAUUAAGGACAUCUUUGCCACUUGUUCAAAUCCUAGAAACUACCCAAGUCUAGAAUUGCUUACUUGCUUACAUGUUUGGUUUACCAACCUUAAGGCAAACACUUAAGUCAUACAUGUUGCUUAUGAAAGAUAGUUUGGAACAUGGAACCAGACAGAAGCUAGAGAUGUAGUUCUGUCUACUAGGUUAAUCUGGUUAAGGACCGAUCCGUGUCUUAACCAUUGAUCAAGUGAUAACCUCUGAUCACUUACUGGGUAUGGGACCAGUAAAGCCCAGUAGAUUAGUAAAUUCUAUGAUCAGGAAUACUUCGUACCCGCAUUUGACGUGCUGGAGAUUGGCAGGGGUGUAGCCUGAAACUCACAUGGAGAUCAGGCCAGACGUGGGGUCCCAUGUGGGGGUGCAUCCCUGGGUCCGGGUAGUUGUAUUCCUAAUCAUUGACUUUGCUAAUCGAGAGGUUGUGAGAUACGACCGGAACAGUCGUAUAAUGCUGGUGAUCGGGGUACUCUCCUGCAGGAUGUAAUUAGAUCUGGAUCGCCGCAAUUCUCGGUUAUGAAUGCACUUGAUCGUUGUUAAGCAUCGUAGUAUCAACUCAUGCGAUAUAAAAUCUCCUGUUGUCAAGUAAUGUAUGACUCAACAGCUGUGGUUGCUUUUACUUCUGUUAUCAUCUAGAAUGGUUAGGUAAUGAUUUAACUAAAAUAAAAGAUAAAACUAAGGCCUCACUCGUAGUAAGCUUUUUCGGCAAAAAUUGUGUCAACCAAGCACACCCAAAGGCUGACUUGCAUUCCAAAGAAAUACUAUUAUAUUGGUUAGUCGGGUAAGACUUGCUGAGUACUUCGUACUCAGGGGAUCCCUUGUUGUUGUUUUCAGAAGCCCAGCGGGGACUCACCGAAGAGGAAGCCCUGAAGACCUAGGGUAUCUUAUGAGUCUCAUGAUACCCUAGAAUAAAACUUAGAUGUUUAUCUUUCUUCCGGACCGGUUUAUGUUUUAAAUUCUUGAAACCACGCUAACCUGCAUUAUUAAGUUUGUUUCAAACUAUGGUUGUAAUAUAUCGUACCUUUGUUAUUUCUUUAAAAAUGUAAUAUUUGUUGGUAUUAUCCCAUCGCGGAUAUUAUCCUGAGGUAUGGCUAUGAGACACAUCGUGGAUCCUUCGAGGAGUCCUAGGGACACUCGACGGACUACCGGACUUAUGCUGUUUUAGGUG
rnacentral:lncRNA from 1 species